CCGCGGGAUGGAGCAGUCUGGUAGCUCGUCGGGCUCAUAACCCGAAGGUCGUAGGUUCAAAUCCUGCUCCCGCAA
rnacentral:tRNA from 1 species